rnacentral:rRNA from 1 species
CGUGUAGGCGGAGAUGCAAGUUGGGAGUGAAAUCCAUGGGCUCAACCCAUGAACUGCUCUCAAAACUGUAUCCCUUGAGUAUCGGAGAGGCAAGCGGAAUUCCUAGUGUAGCGGUGAGAUGCGUAGAUAUUAGGAGGAACACCAGUGGCGAAGGCGGCUUGCUGGACGACAACUGACGCUGAGGCGCGAAAGCGUGGGAGCAAACA